AAUGAACGUUGGCGGCGUGGAUUAGGCAUGCAAGUCGAGCGGGUGUAGUAAUACAUCAGCGGCGAAAGGGAGAGUAACGCGUAGUUACGUGCCCCGAGGUCCAGAAUAGCUACGGGAAACUGUAGGUAAUGCUGGAUAAUAUCUCCGGAUCAAAGGUGUGAUUCCGCCUCGGGAGCGGACUGCGUCCUACUAGCUAGUUGGCGGGGUAAUGGCCCACCAAGGCAACGAUGGGUAGCGGGUGUGAGAGCAUGACCCGUCUCACUGGGACUGAGACACUGCCCAGACACCUACGGGUGGCUGCAGUCGAGAAUCUUCGGCAAUGAGCGCAAGCCUGACCGAGCGACGCCGCGUGCGGGAUGAAGGCCUUCGGGUUGUAAACCGCUUUCGGUUGGGAGGAAAUCGCUAGGGGUUCUCCCCUAGUGUUGACCUAUCUUCGGAAGAAGGACGGGCUAAGUUCGUGCCAGCAGCCGCGGUAAAAC
rnacentral:rRNA from 1 species